GGUGCUGCAUGGCUGUCGUCAGCUCGUGUCGUGAGAUGUUGGGUUAAGUCCCGCAACGAGCGCAACCCUUGUCAUUAGUUGCUACAUUCAGUUGGGCACUCUAAUGAGACUGCCGGUGACAAACCGGAGGAAGGUGGGGAUGACGUCAAGUCCUCAUGGCCCUUAUAGGUGGGGCUACACACGUCAUACAAUGGAUGGUACAAAGGGUCGCCAACCCGCGAGGGGGAGCCAAUCCCAUAAAGCCAUUCGUAGUCCGGAUCGCAGUCUGCAACUCGACUGCGUGAAGUCGGAAUCGCUAGUAAUCGUGGAUCAGAAUGUCACGGUGAAUACGUUCCCGGGUCUU
rnacentral:rRNA from 1 species